rnacentral:rRNA from 1 species
GACGAACGCUGGCGGCGUGCCUAAUACAUGCAAGUUGAGCGCUGAAGGUUGGUACUUGUACCAACUGGAUGAGCAGCGAACGGGUGAGUAACGCGUGGGGAAUCUGCCUUUGAGCGGGGGACAACAUUUGGAAACGAAUGCUAAUACCGCAUAAAAACUUUAAACACAAGUUUUAAGUUUGAAAGAUGCAAUUGCAUCACUCAAAGAUGAUCCCGCGUUGUAUUAGCUGGUUGGUGAGGUAAAGGCUCACCAAGGCGAUGAUACAUAGCCGACCUGAGAGGGUGAUCGGCCACAUUGGGACUGAGACACGGCCCAAACGCCUACGGGAGGCAGCAGUAGGGAAUCUUCGGCAAUGGACGAAAGUCUGACCGAGCAACGCCGCGUGAGUGAAGAAGGGUUUCGGAUCGUAAAACUCUGUUGGUAGAGAAGAGCGUUGGUGAGAGUGGAAAGCUCAUCAAGUGACGGUAACUACCCAGAAAGGGACGGCUAACUACGUG